AUUGAACACUGGCGGCAGGUCUAAUUCUUGCAAAUCGAUCGAGUGGCUGCUGGGUGAGUAAUGUCUGGGAAACUGCCCGAAGGUGGGGGUUAACUACCGGAAACGGUAGCUAAUACCGCAUACCAUCGUAUGUGCCCAGAUGUGAUUAGCUAGCAGGUGGGGUAACGGCUCACCUAGGCGACGAUCCCUAGCUGGUCUGAGAGGAUGACCAGCCACACUGGAACGGAGACACGGUCCAGACUCCUACGGGAGGCAGCAGUGGGGAAUAUUGCACAAUGGGCGCAGUCCUGAUGCAGCCAUGCCGCAUGUGUGAAGAAGGCCUUCGGGUUGUAAAGCACUGUCAGCAGGGAGGCGUUACCCGCAGAAGAAGCACCGGCUAACUCUGUGCAAGCAGCCGCGGUUAUUC
rnacentral:rRNA from 1 species